rnacentral:rRNA from 1 species
AUUAGUGGCGAACGGGUGAGUAACACGUGAGUAACCUGCCCCUGACUUCGGGAUAACUACGAGAAAUCGUGGCUAAUACCGGAUAUGACAUGUGCCCGCAUGGGUGUGUGUGGAAAGAUUUAUCGGUUGGGGAUGGGCUCGCGGCCUAUCAGCUUGUUGGUGGGGUAGUGGCCCACCAAGGCGACGACGGGUAGCCGGCCUGAGAGGGUGACCGGCCACACUGGGACUGAGACACGGCCCAGACUCCUACGGGAGGCAGCAGUGGGGAAUAUUGCACAAUGGGCGCAAGCCUGAUGCAGCGACGCCGCGUGAGGGAUGACGGCCUUCGGGUUGUAAACCUCUUUCAGUAGGGAAGAAGCUCUUCGGAGUGACGGUACCUGCAAAAAAAGCGCCGGCUAACUACGUGCCAGCAGCCGCGGUAAUACGUAGGGCGCAAGCGUUGUCCGGAAUUAUUGCGCGUAAAGAUCUCGUAUGUGKUUUGUCGCGUCUGCUGUGAAAACGCAAGGCUUA